ensembl:lncRNA
GUGAUAACUAGAUAAAUCCCUUUAUUUCAUUCUUAUUCCUUUCCUAAGCUAAACACCACUUUGUUUUUAUUUAUUAUUUUUUACAUAACAAGGUCUCACACUUUGUAGCCUGGAUUGCUAUGUAAUUCAGUAGUCCAAGUUGACCUCAAUUUGAGAUCUUCCUGCCUUAGCCUCUAACGUGCUAGAAUUAUAGGUGUUGUGUGUGUGUGUGAGAGAGAGAGAGAGGAUAGUUUUCAGGAGUCUGUUCUCUCCUAUCCCGUGGGUCCUGGGGAUUGAACUGAGGUGGUCUGGCUUGGCAGUAUGUGCCUUUACCUGCUAGACCAUCUUGCCAGUCCCUUUCAGAAUAAUCUUUGAAAUCUUGUUAUACCUUGCCUCUGCUCAGUCUGCUUGUGUUUUCCACGACAGUUGUCUUGCUCCCUGUACACAGAGGAAACUAAAGACUGGCAAAGUUUAGAAUGUGUGUAAAGUUGCAUAGCUUUCCAGGCAUUUAAAGUGUUUAUGGGGGCUAGAGUGAUGGCUCAGCAGUUAAGAACAAUAGUUACUCUUCCAGAAGACCCAGAUUUAAUUCUCCGCACCCAUGUGGCAGCUCACAAGUCCAGUCCCAGGGGAAUCUGAUGCCCCCUUUAGACUUCUGAGGUUACUGCCUGCACAUGGUGCACAGACAAAAAACACCCAUAUACUGCCUGGCUUGGUGGUGCACACCUUUAAUUCCAGCACUCAAAAGGCAGGCAGGUCUUGAUGAAUUUGAGGGAGUUCCAGGACAGACUUCAAAGCUACAUAGAGAAACUCUGUCUUGGAAAAAAAAAAAGUUCUGAGAGUGCUGGCUCACUAAUAUUAUUCUAGCACCCAAGAAAGGCGGAAGUGGGAAGGUUGCUGCUCAUCCAAGGCCAGCCUGAGUUAUGUAGGAAGGCCCUGUCUCAAAAAACCAAAAUUAAAACAAAACAAAACAAACAUCAAUUUACUGAUUUAUUGGGAACUGUAGUAGUUGUUUUUUGUUUUGUUUGUUUUUGUUUUGUUUUUCUCUUUACUCUUUUGGAGGGCCUGCCAUCCAGCCCCCAAAAUAAAUCACACACAUGGGGACUUUUUCUUACUUAUAAACGCCAGGCCCUGGGGCUGGAGAGAUGGUUCAGUAGCUAAGAACACUAGCUAGUCUUCCAGAGGACCUGAGUUCAAUUCCUAGCAAUCUCAUGAUGGCUCACAGCCAUCUGAAAUGAGAUCUGGUGCCCUCUUCUGGCUGGAAGUAAUACCUGGGGACAGAACACUGUAUAUAUAAUAUGUAAAUAAAAUCAUUUAAAAAUUGAUAUUUCCUCUUCAAAAAAAAACAAAACAAAAACAUCUGUUAUGAGAUCUGGUGGUUGUGAGCCAACUUAUGGUUGCUGGGAAUUAAACUCAGGACCCCUAGAAGAGUAGCCAGUGCUCUUAACCUCUGAGCCAUCUCUCCAGCCCCUAGCCAGCUUUUCGUAACUUAAUUUAUCCCAUCUCCCUUUUGCCUCUGGGCUUUUUCCUUUUCUUACUUCUGUAUAUCUUACUUUCACUUUUACUCUGUGGCUGGUUGUGUAGGUGGGUUGCUGGCCCCUGAUGUCCUCCUCUCCUUGUUCUCUUGUUCUUUCUCUUCUUUUUCCCGGAUUUCUCCUCCUAGUUUUUUUCUCUCUGCCUGCCAACCCCAAGUAUCCUUUCUCCUUCCUUGAUAUUGGCCAUUCAGCUCUUUAUUAAACAAUCAGGUGUUUUAGACAGGCAAGAAUCACAGCUUCACAGAGUUAAACAAAUGCAACAUAAAAGAAUGCAACAUGCUGGGCGUUGGUGGCACACACCUUUAAUCCCAGCACUCGGGAGGCAGAGGCAGGCGGAUCUCUGUGAGUUCGAGGCCAGCCUGGUCUCCAGAGUGAGUUCCAGGGUAGGCUCCAAAGCUACACAGAGAAACCAUGUCUCAAAAAAAAGAAUGCAACAUAUCUUUGAAUUAUUAAAACAAAUGUUCCACAGCAUAAACAGAUGUGACACACCUUAAAAUAAUACUCUACAACAG